rnacentral:tRNA from 1 species
UUUCAUAUAUUUUAAUUAGAAUUUAAUAUUGAAGAUAUUAAGGUGAAAAUGAUUUCUAUGAAUA